AAGCCUGUGAAGGUGUCUUGUAAAGGAUGCUGGAGGUAUCAGAAGUGCGAAUGCUGACAUGAGUAGCGUUAAAGGGGGUGAAAAGCCCCCUCGCCGUAAGCGCAAGGUUUUCUACGCAACGUUCAUCGGCGUAGAGUGAGUCGGCCCCUAAGGCGAGGCAGAGAUGCGUAGCUGAUGGGAAACAGGUCAAUAUU
rnacentral:rRNA from 1 species